CCUACGGGGGGCAGCAGUGGGGAAUAUUGGACAAUGGGGGCAACCCUGAUCCAGCCAUGCCGCGUGUGUGAAGAAGGCCCUCGGGUUGUAAAGCACUUUCAGUGAGGAAGAACGCCUGGUGGUUAAUACCCAUCAGGAAAGACAUCACUCACAGAAGAAGCACCGGCUAACUCCGUGCCAGCAGCCGCGGUAAUACGGAGGGUGCGAGCGUUAAUCGGAAUUACUGGGCGUAAAGCGCGCGUAGGUGGCUUGAUAAGCCGGUUGUGAAAGCCCCGGGCUCAACCUGGGAACGGCAUCCGGAACUGUCAAGCUAGAGUGCAGGAGAGGAAGGUAGAAUUCCCGGUGUAGCGGUGAAAUGCGUAGAGAUCGGGAGGAAUACCAGUAGCGAAGGCGGCCUUCUGGACUGACACUGACACUGAGGUGCGAAAGCGUGGGUAGUAAACAGGAUUAGAUACCCGAGUAGUC
rnacentral:rRNA from 1 species